AGGGGUAGGGGGUGCUUGCACCCCUGAGACCGGCGCACGGGUGCGGAACGCGUAUGGAACCUGCCCCUGUCAGGGGAAUAGCCCAGGGAAACUUGGAUUAAUGCCCCAUGGUAUCGGAGCAUCGCAUGAUGUUCCGAUUAAAGAUUUAUCGGACAGGGAUGGCCAUGCGUACCAUUAGCUUGAUGGUGGGGUAACGGCCCACCAUGGCGACGAUGGUUAGGGGCCCUGAGAGGGGGAUCCCCCACACUGGUACUGAGACACGGACCAGACUCCUACGGGAGGCAGCAGUGAGGAAUAUUGGACAAUGGUCGGAAGACUGAUCCAGCCAUGCCGCGUGCAGGAUGACGGCCCUAUGGGUUGUAAACUGCUUUUAUACGGGAAGAAACGCACCUACGUGUAGGUGUCUGACGGUACCGUAAGAAUAAGGACCGGCUAACUCCGUGCCAGCAGCCGCGGUAAUACGGAGGGUCCGAGCGUUAUCCGGAAUCAUUGGGUUUAAAGGGUCCGUAGGCGGGCCUGUAAGUCAGGGGUGAAAGUUUGUGGCUCAACCAUAAAAUUGCCUUUGAUACUGCAGGUCUUGAGUCAUGGUGGGGUUGCCGGAACAUGUGGUGUAGCGGUGAAAUGCAUAGAUAUCACAUAGAACACCGAUCGCGAAGGCAGGUGACCAACCAUGUACUGACGCUGAUGGACGAAAGCGUGGGUAGCGAACGGGAUUAGAUACCCCGGUAGUCCACGCCGUAAACGAUGGAUACUAGCUGUGGGGGCGCAAGCCUCCGUGGCCAAGCGAAAGUGAUAAGUAU
rnacentral:rRNA from 1 species